rnacentral:rRNA from 1 species
UAGUGGGGGACAACGUGGGGAAACUCACGCUAAUACCGCAUACGCCCUACGGGGGAAAGCGGGGGCUCUUCGGACCUCGCGCUAUCAGAUGAGCCUGCGUUAGAUUAGCUAGUUGGUAGGGUAAAGGCCUACCAAGGCGACGAUCUAUAGCUGGUCUGAGAGGACGAUCAGCCACACUGGGACUGAGACACGGCCCAGACUCCUACGGGAGGCAGCAGUGGGGAAUAUUGGACAAUGGGCGCAAGCCUGAUCCAGCAAUACCGCGUGUGUGAAGAAGGCCUUAGGGUUGUAAAGCACUUUCAAUUGGGAGGAAAACCUGCCGGUCAAUACCCGGUAGCUUGACAUUACCUUUAGAAGAAGCACCGGCUAACUCCGUGCCAGCAGCCGCGGUAAUACGGAGGGUGCGAGCGUUAAUCGGAAUUACUGGGCGUAAAGCGUGCGUAGGCGGUUCGUUAAGUCAGAUGUGAAAGCCCCGGGCUUAACCUGGGAACUGCAUUUGAAACUGGCGGACUAGAGUUGAGUAGAGGGGAGUGGAAUUUCAGGUGUAGCGGUGAAAUGCGUAGAUAUCUGAAGGAACACCAGUGGCGAAGGCGACUCCCUGGACUCAAACUGACGCUGAGGUACGAAAGCGUGGGUAGCAAACAGGAUUAGAUACCCUGGUAG